UACGGGGGGGGCAAGCGUUGUUCGGAGUUACUGGGCGUAAAGAGCUCGUAGGCAGUUCAGCAAGUCGGCUGUGAAAUUCCGAGGCUCAACCUCGGAACUGCAGUCGAUACUGCUGUGACUCGAGUCCGGUAGAGGAGAAUGGAAUUCCCGGUGUAGCGGUGAAAUGCGCAGAUAUCGGGAGGAACACCAGUAGCGAAGGCGGUUCUCUGGGCCGGUACUGACGCUGAGGAGCGAAAGCGUGGGGAGCAAACAGG
rnacentral:rRNA from 1 species